GAUCCUGACUCAGGAUGAACGCUAGCUACAGGCUUAACACAUGCAAGUCGAGGGGCGAGCAUGAACUUAGCUUGCUAAGUUUGAUGGCGACCGGCGCACGGGUGAGUAACGCGUAUCCAACCUACCCUUGUCCAUCGGAUAACCCGUCGAAAGGCGGCCUAACACGAUAUGCGGUUCACCGCAGGCAUCUAACGUGAACGAAAUGUGAAGGAGAAGGAUGGGGAUGCGUCUGAUUAG
rnacentral:rRNA from 1 species